rnacentral:rRNA from 1 species
CAGCCGCGGUAAUACGGAGGGGGCUAGCGUUAUUCGGAAUUACUGGGCGUAAAGCGCACGUAGGCGGACUUUUAAGUCAGGGGUGAAAUCCCGGGGCUCAACCCCGGAACUGCCUUUGAUACUGGGAGUCUUGAGUUCGAGAGAGGUGAGUGGAAUUGCGAGUGUAGAGGUGAAAUUCGUAGAUAUUCGCAGGAACACCAGUGGCGAAGGCGGCUCACUGGCUCGAUACUGACGCUGAGGUGCGAAAGCGUGGGGAGCAAACAGGAUUAGAUACCCCCGUAGUCCCUGUCUCUUAUACACA